rnacentral:misc_RNA from 1 species
AAAGAUUCAAGUAGCUUCUAUUACAACUUCAUUGGAUUAGAGAAUAAAAGUGUUUAAUAAAAGGCCUUGUAUUGUAAAAAAUCCAAACAUUUAGGAUUAAUAAUGCCAAACAGACCUUAAAGAGUAUGUAAUUUGAAAUACAAGAAAAUUACCAGAUGAUGAUUUAAGAAGGUAGUAAUGUCCUCAAUCCUUCAAUGUUGAGCUUAGUGAGAUGAAUCUCUUGAGGAAGGAGACGAUAGUUGAUACCCAGAUUUUCAAAUAUUUUCUUCAACUCCAGAAUUAGCUCUGAUAUGCGAGCAGAACGUUCACCAUAGUUUUGAUGGUUGAUGGUGUGCUGCACAUACAAAGCCAUUUUCAGAGAGUGUGCAUUCUCUAUUUCUUUCACUACCACUGAAUGUUUUGGGUUCCAAUAGCUUGGCUUGCUCUCAACGUACAAUUGUAUGGCCUUUUUAAGAGCAACAAUAGUCUCCAUUGAUGUGGAAAGAUCAAUAGCAAAAUCAAUGGCAUCACCCAUCUCUGGACUUCUGUAGAAGUUGCUGAUGGGUUUUGUGAGCAAAACUGCAUUUGGGUAAUAGAUUUUCUCCAUAUCGUAACGAAGAAACACCGUUGUUAAGAUAUUCAUCUCUUCUACAAUCAUCUGAACACCAUCAAUGACGCAUCGAUCUCCAAUAUCAAAAGGGUGCAUAAUGAAGACAAAAAUGAUAGAUUCAAAGACAGUCUUGCACAUAUUUUGAAAGACGACACCCAAAAUGACGAGUUGAGUAGCCACGAAUAAAACAAUCUUCAUUGUUGCUAAACCCAUCACCAGUAGAGUAACCACUAUUAUAAUCACUGCCACAAUUGAACUUGCUAGCUUGUGAAGUUGUUGCACUGCUGUUUUUGUAUCAUUCAGUGAAUGUGCUAGUGAUUUUCUCUCAAAAUAUGCUCUUACCACCCAAUUCCUGAAUGCUGACUUUGAAAUUCUUCCAGUCUCAAGGGCUCCUUCAAAGAGUGGAAAUAUUGUGUGAAUUUCAAUCCUCUUUAAAAACCUCAUAAGAUCUUCCUCUUCAAUAUACUUGGCCCCUGGUUUUGCUACGUUUUUGAAGAUCCGUUUGGCAGUGUUCCUAGCCUCCCACUCGCUAGUAAUCUCCGAUUCCGCUUUGCCAAAAUCAUCAACAGUUUUGGAAAUUGUCGACAACCCUGACGACCUCACGUAGUUCACCAAUCUUUUCAUUCUCCAUGCAGAAGCCGUCUCCUCCAUGCUCAACUGCCUCAGCUUCUCCACAUCAAUUUUUCUUGAUGAGCUGAACUUCUUCGAUUUCAGCUCAUUUCUUGCCUCCUUCCACUUCCCUUUCUUCUUCCAACUUGCGGGCAGUGAUUUCGAUGCAGAAAAAUUAUGUGUUUGAUUCUCUUCCUGAGCCAGUUCAUCCAUUGGAGGACCAGAAAGUGUAUCAAGAAUGUAAUGGUGGAAAACGAUUUCUUUCAUUCGAUCGAAGUAUGUGGUAACGUGGAAAGAUGAAGCUAGCAUUUUCACUAACACGAUCUUCACAAGCCAGAUUGUUGCAUCUAGCAAUACUGCUCCAAGUGCUUGGAAGACCUUUCUCAGAAUCUUGUUUUUCUUGGGAAUUUUUUCAUUCAACAUGCAUGCAAGUCC